rnacentral:lncRNA from 1 species
CAGACAAUGAAGCCUGAGUAGCAGGAGGAGAGCCUGCAGGCCUCCUGGGUAGAACUGCACCUUCAUGAUAAUGGAAAUGAAAGCAGUGUUUCAGCCUCAGUUUCUAUUUAUAAUGGUGACAUGAAAAAAAUACUGCUGGAUUUCCAGCAUGAGUCCAGAUAGAAAUAGGUCUAAGAAUUCUCACUGUGACAGCUCACCUUAUUCACAGACACCAUGGGAUACUAACAGGAUCCCUGAAACAGCCAUACAAAGCACUGGAGAGAAAAACAGCUCUCAGUCUGAGCAAGAUUAUAUGGAGAAAAAAAAAGUUAAAGGCAUCUUAAGAACAACACUUUGAUUAGACAUAAACUUGAUCAAAUCAGCCAGAAAAUAUUCUCCUUAAAGGAAUUUCUCUCUAAAACCCCAAAUGCACAGGUACUCUCAGCAUGAGAAACAUGAGCAUUAUGAAAAAGGAAAAAAUAUUCUCAGCAGAAUUUUAUAAGGUUUCUCUUUUAUCUCUGCUGCUCUCUUAUCUCCUAGCCAAUGAAUGGGAGAUCUACAAUGGAAUACAUCUGACAAUUUUCAUAAGC